UAUCGGAACUUCGGAAGUGAAAGCUCUAACUUGGACGUGUUGUAUCUCACUAUCUUGUUUAUUUAGAAUGUACGGGAUAUACCGGUAAAAUUUGAUGUUAGACUCUGAUGUCUUGGUGAAAUGGAAAUGGACUAGCAAGCAUCGCAUUGUCAUUGCAACACAACUAAAAUGGUCAAGGAAGCUGAAGAAGGGGGUUGAAAUUAUCAUCAACUAUAGAAGGGGUUUACUGGCAAGCAAUUGUUUUGGAUUCACAGAAUGUAAGACUCAGAAUCAUCUAAUGGAGGGUUUGGUAUCAAUUUUGCACUCCUAAAUAUGCAGGAGAGCAAUUUUGGACCUUAUAAAUGCAGGAUUGUCAAAGGGUCCUGAAUCUGUAGCAUAAUGUGAAGAUUUGAUUAAUAACCGAAGCGGAAAACAAUGCUGUAUGGACGUACAAUCACAAGACACAAAUAUCUGCAUCUGAUGCCACUCUCCACCCAGGUGUGAUAUAAAGCCAGAAGGACCGACUCUUUAAAUCGUCGAGCACCCUAAUAAAAGCCUUCCUCG